rnacentral:tRNA from 5 species
GGGCUUAUAGCUCAGGUGGUUAGAGCGUACCCCUGAUAAGGGUAAGGUCAGAGGUUCGAGUCCUCUUAAGCCCACCA